GCCGGAGACCAGGACGGAUCUGAGCCCAGCUCGAUCGCCGGUCGGUCAGGAGGUUCGAGACCUCCCUCCGGCACCA
rnacentral:tRNA from 4 species